rnacentral:rRNA from 1 species
AUUGAACGCUGGCGGCAUGCCUUACACAUGCAAGUCGAACGGCAGCACGGGGGCAACCCUGGUGGCGAGUGGCGAACGGGUGAGUAAUACAUCGGAACGUGCCCAGUAGUGGGGGAUAGCCCGGCGAAAGCCGGAUUAAUACCGCAUACGACCUACGGGUGAAAGCGGGGAGUCGCAAGACCUCGUGCUACCGGAGCGGCCGAUGUCAGAUUAGGUUGUUGGUGGGGUAAAAGCCUACCAAGCCGACGAUCUGUAGCUGGUCUGAGAGGACGACCAGCCACACUGGGACUGAGACACGGCCCAGACUCCUACGGGAGGCAGCAGUGGGGAAUCUUGCG